rnacentral:rRNA from 1 species
CCUACGGGAGGCAGCAGUAAGGAAUAUUGGUCAAUGGGCGCAAGCCUGAACCAGCCAUGCCGCGUGCAGGAUGAUGGCCCUCUGGGUUGUAAACUGCUUUUAUACGGGAAGAACAGCAUCUACGUGUAGGUGUUUGACGGUACUGUAAGAAUAAGGACCGGCUAACUUCGUGCCAGCAGCCGCGGUAAUACGAAGGGUCCAAGCGUUAUCCGGAUUUAUUGGGUUUAAAGGGUGCGUAGGCGGCUUUUUAAGUCAGUGGUGAAAGCCUGAUGCUCAACAUCAGAACUGCCAUUGAUACUGAAGAGCUUGAGUACAGUUGAGGUUGGCGGAAUGUGUCAUGUAGCGGUGAAAUGCUUAGAUAUGACACAGAACACCGAUUGCGAAGGCAGCUAGCUAAGCUGUUACUGACGCUGAUGCACGAAAGCGUGGGGAGCAAACAGGAUUAGAUACCCUGGUAGUCCACGCCCUAAACGUUGAUAACUCGUUGUUAGCGAUAUACUGUUAGCGACCAAGCGAAAGCAUUAAGUUAUCACCUGGGAAGUUAGGUGCAAGAUUGAAACCUUAAAGGAAUUGACGGNNGAGAGNGCGAGCGACACGAGGAGGAGG